rnacentral:piRNA from 1 species
UGGCCUUGAAGACCCAGUUCAUGUGGUUCUA